AUCCAGCUGACGAGUCUCAAGCACGACGAAGCGCGUGUCCUGGAU
rfam:Schistosoma haematobium scaffold636_49, whole genome shotgun sequence.